UACGGAGGGGGCUAGCGUUGUUCGGAAUUACUGGGCGUAAAGCGCACGUAGGCGGCUUUGUAAGUUAGAGGUGAAAGCCCGGGGCUCAACUCCGGAAUUGCCUUUAAGACUGCAUCGCUAGAAUUGUGGAGAGGUAAGUGGAAUUCCGAGUGUAGAGGUGAAAUUCGUAGAUAUUCGGAAGAACACCAGUGGCGAAGGCGACACACUGGGCCAUUACUGACGCUGAGGCGCGAAAGCGUGGGGAGCAAACAGG
rnacentral:rRNA from 1 species